AACGCGAAGAACCUUACCUGGGCUCGAACGACUGGUAGUAGUCCGGAUGAAAGUCUGGGCGACCCGCAAGGGAGCCAGCCGAGGUGCUGCAUGGUUGUCGUCAGCUCGUGUCGUGAGAUGUUGGGUUAAGUCCCGCAACGAGCGCAACCCCUAUCCUGUGUUGCUACCCGCAAGGGAGGACUCUCAGGAGACUGCCGCGGAUAACGUGGAGGAAGGUGGGGUCGACGUCAAAUCAUCAUGGCCUUUAUGUCCAGGGCCACACACGUGCUACAAUGGCACAUACAAAGGGAUGCAAUACCGCAAGGUGGAGCCAAUCCUUAAAGUGUGCCUCAGUUCAGAUUGUGGGCUGAAAUUCGCCCACAUGAAGGCGGAAUCGCUAGUAAUCGUAGAUCAGCAGGCUACGGUGAAUACGUUCCCGGGCCUUGUA
rnacentral:rRNA from 1 species